ACGUUAGCGGCGGACGGGUGAGUAACACGUGGGUAACCUACCUAUAAGACUGGGAUAACUUCGGGAAACCGGAGCUAAUACCGGAUAAUAUUUCAACCGCAUGGUUCGAUAGUGAAAGAUGGUUUUGCUAUCACUUAUAGAUGGACCUGCGCCGUAUUAGCUAGUUGGUAAGGUAACGGCUUACCAAGGCGACGAUACGUAGCCGACCUGAGAGGGUGAUCGGCCACACUGGAACUGAGACACGGUCCAGACUCCUACGGGAGGCAGCAGCC
rnacentral:rRNA from 1 species